UACGGAGGUUGCAAGCGUUGUUCGGAAUUACUGGGCGUAAAGGGCGUGUAGGCGGCCUUCUAAGUCAGACGUGAAAUCCCCCGGCUUAACCUGGGAACUGCGUCUGAUACUGGGAGGCUAGAGUAUGGGAGAGGGAUGUGGAAUUCCAGGUGUAGCGGUGAAAUGCGUAGAUAUCUGGAGGAACACCGGUGGCGAAGGCGGCAUCCUGGACCAUUACUGACGCUGAUCCGCGAAAGCUAGGGGAGCAAACGGG
rnacentral:rRNA from 1 species